rnacentral:rRNA from 1 species
GGCUCAGGAUGAACGCUAGCUACAGGCUUAACACAUGCAAGUCGAGGGGAAACGAUAUUGGAAGCUUGCUUCUGAUAGGCGUCGACCGGCGCACGGGUGAGUAACGCGUAUCCAACCUGCCCAUCACUUGGGAUAACCUUGUGAAAGUAAGACUAAUACCCAAUGACGUCUCUAGAAGACAUCUGAAAGAGAUUAAAGAUUUAUCGGUGAUGGAUGGGGAUGCGUCUGAUUAGCUUGUUGGCGGGGUAACGGCCCACCAAGGCGACGAUCAGUAGGGGUUCUGAGAGGAAGGUCCCCCACAUUGGAACUGAGACACGGUCCAAACUCCUACGGGAGACAGCAGUGAGGAAUAUUGGUCAAUGGACGAGAGUCUGAACCAGCCAAGUAGCGUGCAGGAAGACGGCCCUAUGGGUUGUAAACUGCUUUUAUAAGGGAAUAAAGUGAGUCUCGUGAGACUUUUGCAUGUACCUUAUGAAUAAGGACCGGCUAAUUCCGUG